UACCACCCUGAACGCACCCAAUCUCGUCUGAUCUUGGAAGCUAAGCAGGGUCAGGACUGGUUAAUACUUGGAUGGGAGAUAAGGAUAAUUAGCA
ensembl:rRNA 5S_rRNA 5S ribosomal RNA